rnacentral:rRNA from 1 species
GACGAACGCUGGCGGCGUGCCUAAUACAUGCAAGUCGAACGCUUCUUUCCUCCCGAGUGCUUGCACUCAAUUGGAAAGAGGAGUGGCGGACGGGUGAGUAACACGUGGGUAACCUACCCAUCAGAGGGGGAUAACACUUGGAAACAGGUGCUAAUACCGCAUAACAGUUUAUGCCGCAUGGCAUAAGAGUGAAAGGCGCUUUCGGGUGUCGUUGAUGGAUGGACCCGCGGUGCAUUAGCUAGUUGGUGAGGUAACGGCUCACCAAGGCCACGAUGCAUAGCCGACCUGAGAGGGUGAUCGGCCACACUGGGACUGAGACACGGCCCAGACUCCUACGGGAGGCAGCAGUAGGGAAUCUUCGGCAAUGAACGAAAGUCUGACCGAGCAACGCCGCGUGAGUGAAGAAGGUUUUCGGAUCGUAAAACUCUGUUGUUAGAGAAGAACAAGGACGUUAGUAACUGAACGUCCCCUGACGGUAUCUAACCAGAAAGCCACGGCUAACUACGUG